AUGUGGACCUGCCUUCGUCAGCGCUAUGAGCCCUCUGGUGAUGCCUUAUAUCUUUCUGUGGUUCGUCAGGAGCAUGCUCUUCAGCAGGGUGACUCUACUGUUGAUGACUUUUAUGCACAGAGUUCUGCUAUCUGGCGCCAGCUUGAUUCUCUCCGCAGUGCUGGUUGUCGUACUUGCCCCUGCUGCCAGGCUGUCCAGGCCGAUUUGGAGUUUCAUCGUGUCUAUGAGUUCCUGUCUCGGCUCCGUAAGGAGUUUGAGCCUCGGCGUGCUCAGUUGUUUGCUCGUGGCCGUAUUUCUCUCAUGGAGGCGCUUUCAGAGAUUUGUGCUGAGGAGACUCGCCUACGUGGUGCUGGUUUGCUGGAGGUUCCCUCUGUGCUCGCUACUCGGGUUUCUUCCACUCCACCUGCUGCACCGCCCCAUUCUCGCUCGAGUGCUCCGCCGCUCUUGCCCACUCCUUCUGGAGGCUCAGGUCGGCCCCGUUCACAUUGUGACUACUGCAACAAUGAUGGUCAUAUUGAGUCCCAGUGCUACACAAAGCGGAAACACCUGCGCAAGGCGCGAUCAUCCUCCUCAGGGACUUCGUCAUCUCCCUCGCCAGCU
rnacentral:rRNA from 1 species